GCAUACAGACAACGGAAAGAAGCAGAGCCCCGAGCAAAAUCAUAUGCGUUUUCAGCUGCGGUUUUUCUCUACAUGAUCUCGUUGCUCUUUUCGUGCCUCGUCUUUCUGGUUUGGUGAAGAUGUCGCAAUUUCCAGUUUCCCUUCCUGUUUUGGCUUUCACGUGUGGCUGCGUUUUUCAUACGAGCUAUAGCUUCGGAGCGAUUAGCUGCAUCUAUUGUUGAAAAAGUAAGGAUGGAGUUAAAGGAGAAAAAGAAGGCAGAGGAGGCAAAGUCUCGACGUCUGAGUGCAUGAAGAUGCCAUCUUGCUUUUGUGUUUUCUGCGUACUCUUAAAUUAGAUUUUUGCUAACUAGUAUGUGUAUAUAUAAACCGAUGACUAGUAUCUGUAUGUAUAACUCGACUUAUGUGGAGACUUCGAACUUGAUUUAAGGGCUCUUUAUUUUGCUGUGAAUGGUUUCAUUUACCUUUGUUGGUACAAAACCUUAAAAGGUUUUAUUGACCGUUAGACCCAUGAGAAA